UACGAAGGGGGCUAGCGUUGCUCGGAAUCACUGGGCGUAAAGGGUGCGUAGGCGGGUCUUUUAAGUCAGGGGUGAAAUCCUGGAGCUCAACUCCAGAACUGCCUUUGAUACUGAGGAUCUUGAGUUCGGGAGAGGUGAGUGGAACUGCGAGUGUAGAGGUGAAAUUCGUAGAUAUUCGCAAGAACACCAGUGGCGAAGGCGGCUCACUGGCCCGAUACUGACGCUGAGGCACGAAAGCGUGGGGAGCAACGG
rnacentral:rRNA from 1 species